rnacentral:rRNA from 1 species
UGAAGACGACGACGUUGAUAGGCCGGGUGUGUAAGCGCAGCGAUGCGUUGAGCUAACCGGUACUAAUGAACCGUGAGGCUUAACCU